rnacentral:rRNA from 1 species
GGCCAGACUCCUACGGGAGGCAGCAGUGGGGGAUAUUGCACAAUGGGGGAAACCCUGAUGCAGCGACGCCGCGUGAGGGAAGACGGUCUUCGGAUUGUAAACCUCUGUCUUCGGGGACGAAACUGACGGUACCCGAGGAGGAAGCCACGGCUAACUACGUGCCAGCAGCCGCGGUAAUACGUAGGUGGCGAGCGUUGUCCGGAAUUACUGGGUGUAAAGGGAGCGUAGGCGGGAAUGCAAGUUGAAUGUGAAAUCUAUCGGCUCAACCGAUAGCUGCGUUCAAAACGGUGUUUCUUGAGUGAAGUAGAGGCAGGCGGAAUUCCUAGUGUAGCGGUGAAAUGCGUAGAUAUUAGGAGGAACACCAGUGGCGAAGGCGGCCUGCUGGGCUUUUACUGACGCUGAGGCCCGAAAGCGUGGGUAGCAAACAGGAUUAGAUACCCUGGUA